CAUUGAAUGGCUGAAAUUAAAGCAAUGGUCUCUUAAACCAACCUAUAGUACUUUUACUUUCAAUGG
rnacentral:tRNA from 1 species